rnacentral:piRNA from 1 species
UGCUAGGGUUUACUGACUUGAGAGU